AGUUUGACAUGGCUGGCGACUUUC
rnacentral:siRNA from 1 species